UGACUUUCAAGUACGUAAUUUUCAGGACUACCCUUGAAGCACCAUUAAAGACUGAUGCCGUGGUUGCCAUCCCUUUUUCCUCUAAGAGAUCAUACUUGGAACAUAGCAGUACAUAUUACUAAAGAAGAAGAAAAGGAAAGAAAAGAAUAUUAUGAAAGCAACUACUCUGAAUUGAUCAGAACUUAACCAUGAAAGCAAAUGAAAGAGGGG